UACGUAGGGGGCUAGCGUUGUCCGGAAUCAUUGGGCGUAAAGCGCGUGUAGGCGGUCCGGUAAGUCCGCUGUGAAAGUCGGGGGCUCAACCCUCGGAUGCCGGUGGAUACUGUCGGGCUUGAGUACGGAAGAGGCGAGUGGAAUUCCUGGUGUAGCGGUGAAAUGCGCAGAUAUCAGGAGGAACACCAAGUGCGAAGGCGGUUCUCUGGGACGGUACUGACGCUGAGACGCGAAAGCGUGGGGAGCGAACAGG
rnacentral:rRNA from 1 species